CCACUAUGACCCAAUAAGCCGCU
rnacentral:siRNA from 1 species